ensembl:lncRNA
CCAUCAGUAUUUCAGCAGGAGACACAUCGUGUUCUAGUGGAGAAGCACGGUAAUUCAGCAGAGCUAAAUAAGGAUCUGAUUGGCCGUCCACUGCUUUCUUGAGUAGUAGUUUCACAAUGUGUACUCCUUUCUCUGCCUUUCCGUUCGACUGCGGAUAUAAUGGGCUCGAUGUCACGCGUUGAAACCCAUAUUCCUCAGCAAACUUCUGGAAGUCCUUGCCACUGUUGCACGGCCAUUAUCACUGCAAACCACCUGCGGAAUGCCGUGUCUCGCAAAGAUGGAUUUCAUGUGUGUUAUCACACAAGUACUGGAAAGCAACGCAAUCUCUGGGUAGUUUGACAGAUAGUCUAUCACGAGCAAAUAGUUACGUCCGUCCAGGAAGAAUAAGUCAGUCCCAACUUUCUGCCAUGGUUCAUCCGGUGGAUCAAUGAUGAUCAUUGGCUCCUUUUGUUGCUUAGCAUGAUGCUUCAAGCACGUAUCACAGGUUGACACCAUCCUGUCGAUGUCUGCAUUUAAUCUGGGCCAGUAGAUUGCAGUUCUAGCCCUUCUUUUACAUUUUUCGGCUCCAAGGUGUCCCUCAUGCAGUUUUCUCAACAUCUCCUGUCGCAGUGACUGAGGGAUAAUGAUUCUGUUCUGUCUCAGCAGAAGUCCCUUGACAACACUCAACUCUGUUCUGAUGUUGUAGUACUGGGCACAUUCUCCUCUAGGCCAACCUUCAUUCAGAUGUGUAAUGACCAAAUGCAAACAUUUAUCUUUUUCAGUCUCCACUACAAUUUGUUUGAGUUUUGUGUCUGUGACUGGAAGAGCUUCAGCUACCAUGUUCACAUCCUGAGUCAUAUCAGCCUCCGUGGAACUUUUCCAUUUUCCACUCAUUUCCACAGCUCUGGACAGAGCAUCUGCCAGAACUAGAUGCUUCCCUUGAGUGUAAAUUAGCUCCAUAUCGUAUCUCUGCAGUCGCAUCAUCAGUCGCUGGAUUCUUGGAGACAUUUGGUUCAAGUUUUUUUUAAUCAUGGCAAUUAAUGGCUUGUGAUCUGUCUCUGCCACAAAUGUCGGUAAGCCGUACACAUAGCCGUGAUAUUUCUCCAAGCCAUACACUAAGCCCAGGCACUCUUUUUCAAUCUGUGCGUAUCGACAUUCAGUCUGAGUCAUUGUCCUCGAGGCAUAUGCGACUGGCCUCCAAUUCUCUCCAUCCGCCUGCAGUAGAACUGCACCCAUUCCAUCUUUGGAUGCAUCUGUCGAGAUCUUUGUCUCCUUUGUUGGGUCAAAGAACGUCAGAACAGGCUCUGUAGUGAGGAGAGUCUUCAGUCGUCCCCAUUCUUGUUCAUGAUCAGCUGUCCAUCUGAACUCGCCUUUAACGCACAACAGUUCUCUCAAAUAAACAGUUUUUGAAGACAGGUUAGGUAUGAACUUUCCGAGGAAAUUGAUCAUCCCCAUCACUCUCAAUACAGCCUUUCUGUCUGUGGGUCUGGGCAUUUUGAGUAUUGCUUGUAUCUUACACUUGUCAGGUUCCACACCCCUUUCUGACAGCGUAUCUCCAAGGAACGUGAUUUCCUUCGCUCCAAACCGACACUUGUAUCCUAUUCAACUUGAGCCCAUACUCCCUUACUCGCUGUAGGACGUCCAUGAGCCUCUUAUUGUGCUGUUCUAUUGUGGAGCCCCACAAGACAAUGUCGUCCACAUAAACACGAACGCCUCCUCGAUGCCUUCGAUUAUGUGUUCCAUAGCCCUGUGGAAUACUUCAGGAGCUGAGGAAAUUCCGAACGGCAUCCUCAAGAAGGAGUAGCGGCCAAAGGGUGUGUUGAAUGUGCAAUACUUUGUGCUGUUCCUCAUGUGGUUUCAGCUGCCAAAAGCCCUGGGAUGCAUCCAGCCUCGUAAAGAACUUAGCACCUGCCAUCUCACUUAGCAUUUAAGUCCUUUAAAUCCAUACAAAUACACAGAUCACCAUUGGCUUUCUUCACACACACCAUUGAAUUAACCCACUCUGUAGGCUCUUCCACUUUUCCUAUGACUCCCAUUGUUGUCAUUUUAUCCAGCUCUUGCCUCAGCUUUUCACGAGGUGGUGCUGGAACCCGUCUUGGUGCGUGAACUACUGGCUGCGCAUCUUCUUUUAACUGUAUUUUGUAGGUGAAUGGUAAUACUCCAAACCCUUCAAAGAUGUCUGGAAACUGUUUCACAUUAUGAUCCACACUGUUCUGUGUUUCUCCAUUAUUUAUGGUGUAUAUUCUUCUUACUAGACCCAGGUCUUCACAUGCCUUGUCUCCCAACACGGAAUCAUGGCCAUUUGGAACAACCAGGAACAUGAGGUAAUGUUCUCUGUCUUUAACCUUUACUCUGAGAGUACAUGUUCCUUUUAUUGGAAUGUUGUGGCCAUUAUAAGCUUUGAGUUGCACAAAUUUCUGACUUAUGCGCGGCUUGAUCUUCAUUGCUCUGACAUCAUACUCAGAAAUCAGAUUUACUUUUGCUCCCGUGUCUAGCUUGAGUGAUACUGUUACUCCAUUUAUUUCCAGAGCAGUCAUCCACUUGUCCCGUGAAACACAAUACAUAUCAGUCGGUUCCAUUCUUUCUUGACUGAUAUUGGCCUGCUGCACCAUUCCAACAAAGAAUGUGUCACUGAGGGAUGUUUCUUCCACUGCAUGCACACGCUCUCUUUGACUUUGUCCGCCUUUCGAAAAAGCAUUGCUUGGCAAAAUGAUUCUGCCCUUUACAUUUAGUACAGACUUUGCCAUAAGCUGGGCAUUGUGUUGGCGGGUGUCUUUUGCCACAUCUCUUACAGUUAAACAGUUCUUUCUGCUGUUUCAGUUUACUCAUUCUGCUUUUCUGCAUCUUCUCUGUUACUGCCGCUACAGCUGAAUUGUCACUCCCGCUCAUUUUUGUGUGGUCACCAAAGGUUUUAGCAUGCUGAAUAGCUAUCUCACUGGCAUGACAUAUACACACUGCUUCAUGCAAGGUUAGCUCCGUCUCUCUCAAGAGCCUCUCCCUCACUUUUUUAUCGUUGAAGCCGAACACAAUUUGGUCACAGACCAUUGAAUCUUGCAACAGUCCAAAAUUGCAUGUUUUAGCUUUCAACUUUAAAUCUAUUAAGAAACUGUCAAACGUCUCUCCUUGUUGUUGUAGACGAGAACGAAAAACAUACCUCUCAAAAGUCUCGUUUUUCUUGGUGUGCAGUGCAAAUCAAACUUCUCAAUUACCAUGUCAUAUUUGCUUUUGUCCAUGGCCUGUGCAAACACGAGUGUGUUAAACGCUUCUUUUGACUGAGGUCCCGCGACGGUGAGAAGCAAUGCAAUCUUGCGAGCAUCCGACGCUUCAUCCAGGCCCACUGCUUGCAAGUACAGCGUGAAUCUCUGUUUGAACAUACGCCGUUCGUGAUCAAUGUUUCCAGUCCAGUUCACAGCGUCAGGCGGUUUAACACUUUCCAUGACGACAGUCGAUGUUGGUGAUUACCCCACUCCUGGUACCAUGUAAUGUUUCUUAUCUCAGUGAAGAAACUGUUUGUAAUCAAACUUAUCUUUUAUUUCACUUUCAGGUCGCGAGAAGGAACAGCAAUAACACGUGCUCUUCUAACUUCCUGUCUGUAUCUUCUGCAGUACCUCCACCCUCUCUCCCAUCAACCCCCUUAGUGUACUAGCUCCAACUGGCUGGUAGAGAAGGGCAGCACUCCACUGACGUAGUAAGCAAUUCCCAGGGAGAGGAGAGCGAUGACCACCAGAAGGAGCAGAACCUGUGAACGUUUGAAAUGAGUCCGUAAUGGGGGAUUCUGAGGAAUACACACACCGCAUACGGUCAUUUGGCUUGUAAAUGCAUCUUUGUUUUACUUUUACCGUGCAUCUAACAAAAGGAUGCUGUGCUAUGCGGAAGAUCUACACACACACAGUCACGUCCUGAAGCUGUAGUGAAUACCUUUGCUUUUCUGGAGGUUAGGGUUGAGGAGAGAGUAGCUCUCCAUCACACUGACAGAAAGGAUUAACUCAGUGCUGACUCAAGUGCUGUAUCACUGACUAUGAUUACACAAGCAGCCCAAUUCAGAAAAUGUAUUUAUUUGAACAAUCAAUCAGAUCAGAAAAUAAUGUGAUUGGUCAGGAAAGUGUUUAGUCAAAAAGAAAAGAGAUUUGGGGUGCUUUUCUAAACACAGCCAUAUGACUGACAUGAUUCUGUUCAAACUCAACAAAUUCCUCUCAGUAAUAUGAUUUACAGUCACAAGCCUUCAAAUGUAAAUAGCAGUUAGUUAUGUCGAUUUAUUCAAUUAUUCAAUCAAUCAAAUGUAUUUAUAAAGCCCUUUUUACAUCAGCAGUUGUCACAAAGUGCUUUUACAAAACACCUGGCCUUAAACCCCAAGGACCAAACAACAGUAGUGUUGAAUUUCAGUGGCUAGGAAAAACUCCCUAAGAAUGCCAACAUUUAGGAAGAAACCUGGAGAGGACCCAGGCUCAGAGGGGUGACCAGUCCUCUUCUGGCUGUGCCAGGUGAACAUAUUAAGAUUACAAUUGUAAUAAUUAAUAAAUGCAUGUGGGCUGAGUCUAGAGUCUAUUUAAACUUAGUCCAGGUCGGAAGCAUGACCAGAUGGACAAGGACAGGGACAACACAGGAGAAGGGGAGGUGUCAGCACAGUAGCAGCUGAAAUUGUCAGGCAUCGUCUCGAUCUGCAACACAACCAGAAGGACUCUGGACAGGGACA